AUACAAAUUAGUGAUGUGGGGUUGAAGUAGGGUGAUGAGAGCCACAUCCUACACUAGUGACUAAUUCCUAACCAAGUGGCAGUUGAUCUGUUACAGCAAAUACUUCACAUUUUGGCAUUGUGUUUUCCUCAAAACAUGACAUCUCUCCCAGUCUGAUC